rnacentral:rRNA from 1 species
AUUGAACGCUGGCGGCAGGCCUAACACAUGCAAGUCGAACGAGUGGCGGACGGGUGAGUAAUGUAUGGGAAACUGCCUGAUGGAGGGGGAUAACUACUGGAAACGGUAGCUAAUACCGCAUACCAUCGGAUGUGCCCACAUGGGAUUAGCUAGUAGGUGAGGUAACGGCUCACCAAGGCGACGAUCCCUAGCUGGUCUGAGAGGAUGACCAGCAACACUGGGACUGAGACACGGGCCAGACUCCUACGGGAGGCAGCAGGGGGGAAUAUUGCACAAUGGGGGCAAGCCUGAUGCAGCCAUGCCGCGUGAAUGAAGAAGGCCUUCGGGUUGUAAAGUUCUUUCAGCGGGGAGGCGUUAACCGCAGAAGAAGAACCCGCUAACUCCGUGCCAGCAGCCGCGGUAAUAC